AUGGCCGUCCAAAAAGGAAAUGUAGCCAUUGGUGUCAUCUACCGACCACAGGUUAAAGAUUGGCGAUCCGUUGGAUACCGACAGAGUUAUAGGCAAAACUUGGUGCAAAAAUGAGGAAAAUUUUACAUUUUCUCAAACAGGGUAUGGAACUUGGUUCCUCGAAUAACUUCUGGCACAGACAUCUGAGGGCAUGGCCGUCCAAGAAGAAAAUGUAGCCAUUGGUGUCAUCUAUCGACCACAGGUUAAAGAUUGGCGAUCCGUUGGAUACCGACCGAGUUAUAGGCAAAACUUGGUGCAAAAAUGAGGAAAAUUUUACAUUUUCUCAAACAGGUUGUGGAACUUGAUUCCUCGAAUAACUUCUGACACAGAGAUCUGAGGCCAUGGCCGUCCAAGAAGAAAAUGUAGCCAUUGGUGUCAUCUACCGACCACGGGUUAAAGAUUGGCGAUCCGUUGGAUACCGACCGAGUUAUAGGCAAAACUUGGUGCAAAAAUGAGGAAAAUUUUACAUUUUCUCAAACAGGGUAUGGAACUUGGUUCCUCGAAUAACUUCCGACACAGACAUCUGAGGGCAUGGCCGUCCAAGAAGAAAAUGUAGCCAUUGGUGUCAUCUAUCGACCACAGGUUAAAGAUUGGCGAUUUGUUGAAUACCGACAGAGUUAAAGGCAAAAAGAAAUUUUCAAAUUUUUAUGAUUUUUUAAUCUUUAUAUAUUAAAUUUUUGUGUCGCGGUGUUAGUGUGCAAACUCCUCUUAAACGGCUCAAUUGGCCAAUGUUAUGAGUUCUUUUCUGUUUUUCC